rnacentral:miRNA from 1 species
UGCGUGCGUGUGUGCGUGUGUGUGUGUGUGCGCGUGUGUGUGUGCGUGCGCACACACACACACACACACACACACACAGU